AAUAGCGGCAAGCGGAUAUAAACUUCAAUUUGCCGAAUCUGAUAUCAGAAGUUUUUCGAGUUAAAGGUGAGAUCGUCACUUUAAUUUUACCUCGUCAAGAGGUGCUUUUGUUUGAUAUCAAAAGUAUUUGUUUUGAAACUACAGUCUUAAUAAUUCUACACCACAAGCAAAAAAAUUUUUAACCAACCAUCUACAAAUUGAACAGCUUGUACUGGAAAAGAAGAGUCUGCGACGUGCUUGGCAAGCCAAUAGAUCACAAUCCUCAAAACAACGUCUUGAGAAAGCCACUCGCACUCUAAACCGAUCCCUAAAGAAGGACGCUGAAAUGCACAACUACGGUACAUCGAAAAACUUUCGCCAACCACUACAAAAAACCGUCUCUCGGAUACGAAAUUCAUCAGUUUCAGCCAAAUAAGAUCGCGAAAAUCAUCGGGAAACUGAAACCGGCUCCGGAGUAAGGUGCAACACAACAAAAUCUGACGACUACAUUAUCGAAGCUGGAGUCCCGGGCUCUGUUCGUCCUAUAUACAUCGGGUAUUCCUACGAACGAGCAGCUAACAUCAUCUACAUUCGCUGACGACACUGCAAUCCUAAGUCGCUCUUCGUGCCCAAUCCAAGAAACAUCACAACCAGCCAAUUACCUCAUCAUAGUAGAGAGAUUCCCCAAGUCAACGAAGUAAUGUAUCUCGGCGUUCACCUCGAUAGAAACUACAUCUAAACUAAAAGUCAGCAGCUUUACUGGAUCUUAAACGCCCGAUCGCCCCUGCGUCUAGACAACAAGCUCCUGCUGAACAACUCCACUCUUAAGCCUAUGUGGACAUAUGGUUUCCAGCUUUGGCGGAACGCGAGCAGCUGCAACAUAGACUUCAUUCAGCGCACACAAUCAAAAAUCCUGAGAUCUAUCACUGGGGCACAAUGGAGCCCGCCUACAACGCAACGACCUCCCAACCGUGCAAUAAUUUUAAGGGCCCCAUCACUCGGUGUUAUACGACUGUUAGUUUAUUACCAUUAGAUUUGAUACACUGAUUAAUAGUAUUCGAAAGGAAAAAGUUUAAUUAAUAAAUAGCGAAGCAUAAAAAGAAACUAAAUUUUAUACCCUUGCA